AUUGAACGCUGGCGGCAGGCCUAACACAUGCAAGUCGAGCGGAGCGGCGGACGGGUAAGUAAUGCCUAGGAAUCUGCCUGGUAGUGAGGGAUAACUUCCGGAAACGGGCGCUAAUACCGCAUACUAGCAGAUGAGCCUAGGUUGGAUUAGCUAGUUGGUGGGGUAAAGGCUUACAAAGGCGACGAUCAGUAACUGGUCUGAGAGGAUGAUCAGUCACACUGGAACUGAGACACGGUCCAGACGCUUACGGGAGGCAGCAGUGGGGAAUAUUGGACAAUGGGCGAAAGCCUGAGCCAGCAAUGCCGCGUGUGUGAAGAAGGUCGUCGGAUUGGAAAGCACUUUAAGUUGGGAGGCGUUACCAACAGAAUAAGCACCGGCUAACUUCGGGCCAGCAGCCGCGGUAAUUC
rnacentral:rRNA from 1 species